rnacentral:rRNA from 1 species
UACGAAGGGGGCUAGCGUUGCUCGGAAUUACUGGGCGUAAAGCGCACGUAGGCGGCUUUCUAAGUCGGGGGUGAAAUCCUGGAGCUCAACUCCAGAACUGCCUUCGAUACUGCCGUGCUUGAGGACUGGAGAGGAGACUGGAAUUUACGGUGUAGCGGUGAAAUGCGUAGAUAUCGUAAGGAAGACCAGUGGCGAAGGCGGGUCUCUGGACAGUUCCUGACGCUGAGGCACGAAGGUCAGGGGAGCAAACGGG